UGGCAGUCCUCGUCCUUUGUAGCUCCUGGCAGCACGCUGUGCGGCUGCGGGAGGUUAAUUAGGGAGCCAGCCAGAGCUCGGGCUUCCACUCACAAGCUUUGAGUGACUCAGUGCUUUUCUCCAUUAGAGCUAACCUGUUUACAAGCCUGCCGUAUAUUUAUCUAACGAAGAUAAUUAUCCACCUCCAAAAUGCCGUGAUCUAUUUGGGCUGAGGCAGUGCACCUGGAGGUGGGGUGUUACUGGGUUCCUUUGCCUCAUCCCCAGAACACCACAAGUGAAGCUUGGAGCCUGCAGGAUGGUGGCUUAGAUCUGACACAAACAGAUGGUCAACGAAACCAAUUAACCUUUCCCGAACUCUCUUCCAGGCUUUCCACGUUUUCCGAGCCUGUGGACAAAUGAACAAAACCCACCAGGAGACUGGCUGCCAGGCCGUGAUGAAUAGGACGGCCGAGUGGUGCACGUGAGGAGCUCAAACAAACCUCAGCUCCUGGGGCUUCAUGCUGCAGGAGGACUACUGCUGACAAAACAGCCGUUAGAAGAGCUGGCUGUGCAUGGGGAUAGCUGCUACAGACAUUCCUUUCCCCUCCAGCCCCGCGCUUUGAUGUCUGGAUGUGCAUCGGAGCUCGGUGGCUCGGGCUCCGCCAGCACCAGGGCUGAGCCAGGAGGCUGAAUCCCUCUCUGUUGAAGUGCAAGGCAUAAUGAUUCAAACAAAAUCUCUACAUCUUGGGUCCCUCUCUAGUUAUGACAUGAAAGAAGCAAAGAUUAAAGUAGAAGCGAAUGUAUUCUGCAAAUCCGAGUCUGAUCUCUCCUGUUUUACAGAUUCUGCUCUUCAAAAAAAAUAUAUUUUUUUGCUAGAUUUUCAAGUGGAAGCAAGAUGCUCUUAUGUCAGGCUGGAUCUUAGCAACAAUGCGUGGAAAGGAUCAGUGUAUCAGAAGGGAACAUUUGAGGACUUCCGUGCCUUGCACUUUGCAGUGCCUCAAGGCUGGGUGGGUGGGCAGCCCCUCGGGGCAGGGCCCAGUUCAGCUGGGAGUCGGGGCUGCAGCCCCCCCAGCUCCUGGGGGGGUCCUUCCCUUUCCUUGGGGUCCAUUAUCCUGUGUACUGAAAACAGAUGAAGAAAUCCUAACCUCAGACAGAACAGGCAAUGGCAC